rnacentral:rRNA from 1 species
UACGUAGGGUGCGAGCGUUGUCCGGAAUUAUUGGGCGUAAAGAGCUCGUAGGCGGUGUGUCACGUCGGCCGUGAAAACCUGCAGCUUAACUGUGGGCGUGCGGUCGAUACGGGCAUCACUGGAGUUCGGCAGGGGAGACUGGAAUUCCUGGUGUAGCGGUGAAAUGCGCAGAUAUCAGGAAGAACACCCGUGGCGAAGGCGGCUCUAUGGGACGGUACUGACGCUGAGACGCGAAAGCGUGGGGAGCGAACAGG